ACCGUUAUAACAUGCAAACAUCCACUGCAAGAGGUCUACAGGAGGAAAUUUGUGAAUAGGAAGAGAAGAGACUGGGGACUAGUGUGUUGCCAUGACAACCACAUGACCUGCCAAAAAUAUUCAUAUGGGUGCACCCACGAAGUGUACCGAGUUUCAUUGAAUUUUAUUAAAUACUCACCAAGAUAUCAGACUUUCUUGUUAUUGCCAUUAUCUCAAGUCAAACUAGUGACGUCACAACUCAAAAUUUAGAAAGUGCGAUAACUUGAGAAUGAGAUGAGA